rnacentral:rRNA from 1 species
UUACGCUGUUAUCCUUAAGGUAACUUAAUCUAAUAAUCAAUAAUAAUGGAUCUAAUAUUCAUAAAUCAAUGUAAAAUAAAUAAAAAAGUUAAUUUUAUAUUCUUGUCACCCCAACAAAAUACAAAUUAAUAUAAAUAUAAUAAUAUAUAAAUAAUUAUAUUAAGAUAUAUAAAGAUCUAUAGGGUCUUCUCGUCUUCCAAUAAAAUUUUAGCUUUUUAACUAAAAAAUUAAAUUCUAAAACAAAUAAAAUGAGACAGUCAGUUCCUCGUUAAACCUUUCAUUCCAGCCCUCUAUUAAAAGACUAAUGAUUAUGCUACCUUUGCACGGUCAGUAUACCGCGGCCGUUAAAAUCAUCACUGGGCAGGUCAGACCUUUAAUUAAACUCAAAAGGACAUGUUUUUGUUAAACAGGCG